rnacentral:rRNA from 1 species
GAUGAACGCUAGCGGCAGGCCUAACACAUGCAAGUCGAGGGGUGGCAGGAUUAAGCUUGCUUAAUUGCUGACGACCGGCGCACGGGUGCGUAACGCGUAUGCAACCUACCUUAUACUGGGGUAUAGCCCGGAGAAAUUCGGAUUAAUCCCCCAUAGUACUAAUGAAUCGCAUGGUUUAUUAGUUAAAGCAUUGCGGUAUAAGAUGGGCAUGCGUCCUAUUAGCUAGAUGGUGAGGUAACGGCUCACCAUGGCUACGAUAGGUAGGGGGCCUGAGAGGGUGGUCCCCCACACUGGUACUGAGACACGGACCAGACUCCUAGGGGAGGCAGCAGUGAGGAAUAUUGGUCAAUGGGCGCAAGCCUGAACCAGCCAUGCCGCGUGCAGGAAGAAUGCCCUAUGGGUUGUAAACUGCUUUUAUUUGGGAAUAAACCUCUUUACGUGUAGAGAGCUGAAGGUACCAAAUGAAUAAGCACCGGCUAACUCCGUGCCAGCCGCCGCGGUAA